AUUGAACGCUGGCGGCAGGCCUAACACAUGCAAGUCGAGCGGUUGAAGGGAGCUUGCUCCUUGAUUCAGCGGCGGACGGGUGAGUAAUGCCUAGGAAUCCUCCUGGUAGUGGGGGAUAACGUCCGGAAACGGGCGCUAAUACCGCAUACUUCCUGAGGGCGAAAGUGUGGGCUCUUCGGACCUCACGUUAUCAUAUGAUCCUAGGACGGAUUAGCUAGUUGGUGGGGUAAAGACCUACCAGGGCGACGACCCGUAACUGGUCUGAGAGGAUGAUCAGCCACACUGGAACUGAGACACGGUCCAGACUCCUACGGGAGGCAGCAGUGGGGAAUAUUGGACAAUGGGCGAGAGCCUGAUCCAGCCAUGCAGCGUGUGUGAAGAAGGUCUUCGGAUUGUAAAGCACUUUAAGUUGGGAGGAAGCGCAGUAAGUUAAGACCUUGCUAUUUUGACGUUACCUACAGAAUAAGCGCCGGCUAACUACGUG
rnacentral:rRNA from 1 species